UAACUCUGGUUUCCCUUCAAAACGCAUAAAUCUUUCGCCUUUUACUAAAGAUUUCCGUGGAGGGGAACAACUCAAUGAGUCUAAGGAUAUUUUUUAACGGCCCAAUUAUUGGGCU